rnacentral:rRNA from 1 species
ACUCCUACGGGAGGCAGCAGUGGGGAAUAUUGCACAAUGGGGAAACCCUGAUGCAGCCAUGCCGCGUGUGUGAAGAAGGCCUUCGGUUGUAAAGCACUUUCAGUAGGGAGGAAGGUAGUGUAGUUAACACCUGCAUUAUUUGACGUUACCUACAGAAGAAGCACCGGCUAACUCCGUGCCAGCAGCCGCGGUAAUACGGAGGGGUGCGAGCGUUAAUCGGAAUUACUGGCGUAAAGCGCAUGCAGGCGGCCUGUUAAGUCAGAUGUGAAAGCCCGGGGGCUUAACCUCGGAAUUGCAUUUGAAACUGGCAGGCUAGAGUCUUGUAGAGGGGGUAGAAUUUCAGGUGUAGCGGUGAAAUGCGUAGAGAUCUGAAGGAAUACCAGUGGCGAAGGCGGCCCCCUGGACAAAGACUGACGCUCAGAUGCGAAAGCGUGGGGAGCAAACAGGAUUAGAUACCCUGGUAGACUGUCA